CAUCCGGUGGCCGCAGAGAAUAGGCCCAAGCGACUGUUUACAAAACAUAGGUUUCUGCUAAGUCGCAAGACGAUGUAUAGGAGCUGACGCCUGCCCGGUGCUGGAAGGUUAAGGGGAUCUGUUAGAGCAAUCGAAGCAGUGAACUUAAGCCCCAGUAAACGGCGGCCGUAACUAUACCGGUCCUAAGGUAGCGAAAUUCCUUGUCGGGUAAGUUCCGACCCGCACGAAAGGCGUAACGAUUUGGGCACUGUCUCAACAACAGACUCGGUGAAAUUGUAAUUCCGGUGAAGAUGCCGGAUACCUGCGACAGGACGGAAAGACCCCAUGG
rnacentral:rRNA from 1 species